rnacentral:lncRNA from 1 species
AUUGAAUUGUAUUGCUGAAAAGCAGUUUAUAACAUCAUUAAACUUUGUAAAUGUUUUGAUACUUUUGCUUAUCGAUAAUUCUUUAGUGGCGUCUAGCUGAUACAAUUUCUACAAUACCUUACGCUAAUACUCCUCUUACCGUCUACUCGGAAUCUGAGCUUAGACUAUCCUCCAUUUCUUCAUUGCUUUUCUUCAAAUUUCUUUUUGAAAAAACUAUUAUCAUUUAUUUACAUGUUAAUUUUAAUAUUUUGCGCAGGUGAUUGAUGGCAUCUACUAUAAAUUUUCUUGAAGAUAGAACAGUUUGGUGCAAAUGCAACGAGAUAGCUUUAAUAAGAACUUCACAGCAAGCUAGAAGUAAAGGAAGGCAAUUUUAUGGAUGUCGAAAUUAUGGAAAGAAUAAGAAUAACUAUUGUGAUUUUUUCAUGUGGUGCGAUAAAGUGAAAUCCAAAGAACUUUUAGAACAAGAAAGUUCUACUCUUUUAAAUUUGAAGGAAAGUGUAGACCGUGAACUAGCAGCAUCUUCUCCAAAAACUUCAAAUGAAGAGAUGCUUCAAUGCAUAAACUAUAAGUUAUCUAGUUUGGUUGAGCAAAUGGAGAAUCUGAAAAAUAGAGUUGAAGAAGCUUCUACAAGGACAACAGCAAUGGUGGAAAGAAUUGAAGCCGAAAGAAAAAUUUUUAUUGUAUUCAUUUUAGCAAUUAUAUGUAUUAAACUUCUAUUCGCCUAAAUGUAAUAUGAAUCUACUGUGUUCAUUUGAGAUGUAUGUAGGAUAUUUGCCUCACUUUUAAUUGUAUGAACCAACCUUGACAAUUUUUUGUGUGUGAAGACUUAGUAUUAAUCCACUGAUUCAUCUGUGUUUAUAAUGUGUACUUCAAAAUUGUGUAUGCAUAUUAAACUGUAUCUAUGCAUAUUAAACAAUAAUACUCUACCACAAAGAAAAGUAAGGUCCAAUACAAUCACAGUCUAAACUAUCACAAUUCAACUAAUACAACAAUACUCUACCACAAAGAAAAGUAAGGUCCAAUACAAUCACAGUCUAAACUAUCACAAUUCAACUAAUACAACAAUACUCUACCACAAAGAAAAGGUACAAUACAACCACAGUCUAAACUAUCACAAUUCAACUAAUACAACAAUACUCCACCACAAAAAAAAGUAAGGUACAACACUGAUUUGUUCUUGCUUUCAAGUCUCUUCGUCAUCGGUUUCUUCAAGUCUCUCGCUAAAACUUGGAUCAUUAGAUGGCACUUCAUCAACAAUCUGCAAAUAAUAUUAAUAUUAGCAUACUGUGAAUAAUAAGAAAUGUAAAAAUAUUUGAAGAAAAUAAAAAAAAAAGGAAUUUAUUAUACCUCUUUACAAGUCCUAAUGUUGUGUCCUUUUUUACCACAUUGCUUGCAAGUUCUUGGCACCCUAACCUUUUUUUCAAUGGGAGGCUUAAACCUUUGUGGUUUUCUCUUUCCUUUACAUUGUGAUUGAGGAGGAUCUUUAAUCGUGCAUUCUGAUGCAAGCAUAUUUACUUGGCUUGAUUGUGAAAUUACGAUUCUGUGAAGACCACUUGAAGGCUCCUUGAUUGUCGCUUCCUCACUUUCAAACAUUUGAUUAAUUGAUGUUAGUGUAUCAAUUCCUUCUCUAAUUAUCUGACAUGCAGUUUCAUGUGCCUUAAGACUUUUUGAACCUUCAAAGAUAAAUUUUUGCAUUUCUAAUGUAAGUGAAUCAAACCUUCGAGAUCUACAAAACGAGGAACCACCACUCAUUUCUGCACUAUUGCUUGGUGUUCUCUUUUUUGCAUUCUUAGUCCACCUAUUUAAUAUAUAAUGAGGUGGGAUGUUAUAAAUCUCAAUAUAAUGCAUUACUUUAAGCACAUGAGCACAUAAGAGGCCAUAAAAUUCAAACAAUUUACAAGUGCAGGAUACUAUAUUUUCGGACCUUACAACAGUCACUAUAUAUUUUUUUUCAUAGCAGGAUCUUGAUCAGUGAUAAUAGCUUUUGUGGUGUCUACCAUACAUGGCUUUAAUCCAUGUUUCAAACAACCAAGCAAAUGUAUUAGCAGUCUCAUCUCUAAUGAGAGCACACACCGAAAAAUAUAGAUGCAAAUGAUGAUUAACCCCUAUAAAAGGAGCAAAUGGCAUACUAUAUUUGUUCGUCAUAUAAGUUGUAUCGAAAGUGACAACAUCGCCAAAAUGCUCAUAUGCUAAUCUUGAUCGUCCAUCUACCCAAAAUAUGUUUCGAGCCGCUGUUGGUCAUCAACAUCAAUAGCAUAGAAGAAUAACGGAUCUUUAGAUUGAAGCUCACGAAAAUAAUUAAGCGCACUUGCUACAUCUAUUCCAAUAAGGUUUCUAUUUUUCUCAGCAACUUUAUUACUUAAAUCUUUACGAGUGAAGUGAAUAUUAUGUCUUCCUCCCUCCCUUGCUUGCAAUAAAGGCCAUAAUUUGUGAAGUGGAAAUAUUCUGUUCAUUCAACAUAUGAAUUAAUUCUUUUUGCUCCUUUGUAAUAGCACGAUGCGAUCGAAAAAAUCGACUUUUAGAAGGACUAACGAUUAAUUCAUGAUUGUGUUCGUUCCCCACACGUGAUCACCCAUUUUCUCGAUCAUCUAUCCUCAUAACAAUAUGCGCUUUACAACCACUUCGCUCGAUUAGAAAAUUGCUUUUUAGGCGUAUUGCUACUUCUGAAUUUUGGCAAUGACUUUUCUCAUGAGUUUGGGAUUUAGAAAGACCUGCUUUAGAGCAACAAUAGGUUACAGAUGUGAUGCAUCAUCAUGUUUCUUUGCCUUAUAAUGGUAUGUUUUCUUAUACUAAACCCCAAUUUAAAAGCAUAGUCAUUGUAGAACUUUUUAGCAUCUUCUAUAGAGUUGAAUUCCAAACCAACACGUGGCUCUUCAACAGGUUGUGUGUUAUACAUAUCUGUUCAGCAGUAGCAAUUUGUUCCAAUUCCUCAUCUACCUCAUUUUCAACAUCAAUAUUGCACAGAGAAACAGAAGAACCAAUUGUAGAGCCAUAUUCCCUCAUUUAAUUAACCCCUAUAGAUAUAAUCAAAUUAAUAUUAUAAAAAUAGCUCAAAUAAUAGAAAAAUUGAUAACUUACUUUAUGAAAUAUGACAAAAUGAGUAGAAAUAAAAUUUAUGAUAGCUAUCAAGUGACGGACAAAUUUUUUUAUUUGUAGAUAUGCUCAGACAAAAUUUAUGCUCAUACAUAUUUGUAGAAUACCUCAACAAAAGAUGAUUUUGCUUUCUAGAGGUCUUCAACAAUUCAUUUUCAUGUAAAAAUUGAAACUUAUGUAAAAGAAUGACAUAGGAGCUAAUCCCAAGCAACUGGGAUCAUGGAUAUAAGAACAACAUCCCCAGACCAAAAGGUAUUUCCCAAAGAGCACUCACCAGAAUGCUUCAUCUAGUUACUCAUUAUUCAUGUAUUUUCCAUUCCGUCACCAACAAAAAAAAUUAAACAUCAAAACGACAACAAGAACAACAAGAUCCGAGAUGCUUACCUUCGAGAUCUUCCCGAGAACGGCGUCACGGAUCGGAGGUGCGGGAACCGCCACAGUUGGAGAACUAAAUUCAGAUCGUUGCCGGGAUCGAUCGAGUGCUCACGGGCCGAGGGAGCGCGCCUCGUCGGGAGCGAUCUUGUAGCGCGCAGCCGGAAGGCGUCGACGCGGAGGGGUGCGUCCGGGAUCGAAACUGUAGCGCUGCGGCCGAAAGGCGUCGCGCGGAUGGGCGCGUCCGGGAUCAAAUCUGUGCGCCGCGGCCGCAAAGGCGUCGGCGCGGGAGGUGCGCACGACUUACUGUCGUGGCGUCGUCGCGAGCGUCGGAUAGGGAUAGAGACCACCACCGUAGAGAAGGGGAAAGAGGAAGAGAGAUGGAGGGAGAAAAAAAGAAAAGAAUAGAUCUGGUGGGGGAACCAGAGAGAGAGAGGGAGAGAAAGAGGGGGUUGUCAGAGAAAGAAAAGAGAGAGAAGGUGGGUUGCCAGAGGGAAAGAGAGAGGGGUUCACGUGUAGAGAGAGAAGAGAGAGAAGAGAGAGAGUAACGCCGCUUAUUUGCUUGCGUCUAGUUCCACCCAAUAACUAUGCGCGGAUCUCGAGGCGAAGCCGCGAUCCAAUGGUGAAAAAGUCCCAAGCACAAGAGCUCCUGUGCUUUUUAAAGCACAGGAGCUCUACUUAUAUUAUUAUAUAUAUAUAUAUAUAUAUAUAUAUAUAUAUAUAAUAUUAUAUAGAACUAGGCUACUAUACUAUCGGUAGCACGAGCGUUCGUGCUACCAAGUUGUUUUCGAUGAUGCGGCUUUCAAAUCGACGAUCGGCUCCGUGUUAGAUUUGAUCUACACUAUUGAAAGUAUUUAGAAACUAAAUUUCAUAAUUUUUCGAUAUCAUUUACCUAUCAAACAAGUAGUCUAAAAUUGAACGGCUAAAAAUAAAAAUCUCAUGAAAAAUGAUGAUAAAAUAUUUAAAUUCAAGAUCAAAUAUACUGAUCUUACUCUAAAUAGUGAAAAGAAUUUUUUAUAAAAUUUUUAUCGCAUUUGGAUUGUUUUACACCGUUAAACUUACAAACACACCACAUCGGCCAUUAAAAUUGUCAAUUUUGAGAUAUUUUGAUCACUAGUCAAACGAUGUCGAAAAAAUCUGAAAUUUAGUUUCCAAAUACUUUCAAUAGUGUAGAUCAAGUCUAACGAAACCAAUCGUCGAUUUGGAAGCCGCAUCAUCGAAAACAACUUGGUAGCACGGAGCGCUCCGUGCUACCGAUAGCAUAGUAGCCGGACUCUAUAUAUAUAUAUAAUUUACUUACUCAAGUAAGGCAAACCGAAGGAGAAUUAACCAAAUUCUCUCUCUCUCUCUCUCUCUCUCUCUCUCUCUGUUUUUCAAGAAACAAAAAGACUCAAAAUGUUUGGAAUAAUUGAAGGAAAUAAUUUUUAGAAAAUGAGUGAAAACUAAUUAAUGUGCCAAAAAUUUGGAAACAAAUAGCAGUAAUUCAAAAGAUAUAUAUAUAGGUUUUACCCAAAGCAAUUCAUAUUAACGUAUUGUCUUAUUCGUGAGAGUUAAACUUAGAAAAAUUUACUCCCUGAAGUAGAUAUAUACCUAAAAAACGGUUUGAUUUGUUAAUACUUUCGUGUGUGUAGGUAGGAAUUGUUAAAUUAUAAGCAACAAGUGUUUUUUAAUAGCUUAAGUUAAUUACUAGAGCAUGCAUGCAUGGUAUUUUUAUAUUUUUAUAUUUAAUAGUAUUCCUAAUUAAUAUAUCUAUUACUUAGCAUCAAAUUAUCUCAUAAAUCAACGGAGUCGAAAGAAAAAUUAUUCUACUUAUAAAAAUAAAGCUUUAAAAUUUACAAAUUUUAAUAUGGGGUCGUUUGAAUAUCAGUGAUACAUUAAAAAUGAAUGUAGUAGACCUAAAUCAUGCAUAUAUUUCUCUAUCUAGGCAAAAUAAAAACUACUAAAAGACCUUACAAAAGAAAACAAAAAAAAGGACCUCCACAUUUAAUGACUAUCAAUUACCCACCAGGCAUAUCUAUGCAGUACUUCUUUGGCACACUUGAUGAGAUCGCUUCUUUGUUUUCACUAAAGCUAUUUCUGGGCUUAUUUUAUAUUAGAUCGAUAUUCUAUUAAUGUAUGUAUUGUGAUUCAGCUGGUAUCUAUCAUGCACGUAACUGCGAAUAUUAAGAUUGUUUUUAAGGCUAUUUUCUAUGUAAUCAAUCUUUUGGAUUCUCUCUCUCGCGCGCGCGCACUUUUUUCCUAAUUGAUACAAAACUCUGUGAACACUAUAAUUGCCUAAACACUACUCAGAUAAGUACCUCAUCCUGCACUCAUUUGAGUCAGCAGCUGCAGCAGAUAUUAUACCAAUUUAUAUGAUUUUUGACUGCUACAGUGAAGGUUAUGAACCCCCGAAUAUACGGAAAUGUUUCAUGUACACGCGGAUUAGGAGGAAUAAUACAUAUAAAAAAUACCUCGCAGAGCGUUUUCAUUAAUAAGAAAAAACAGUACAUACGAUCAGGUAAUUUAUUGGCUACGCAUUACGUUCCUUGUAGCUCUCGUGGUACUACGUUCUUUUCAUUUUCUUGUUGGGGCAGUAAUUUUAUGCUAGAAAUACAUCUUACACACGAUGCUUUACAAAUUACAUCGCUUUAGUAAUCGGAUUUCAUUGCAGAAUUAUAAGUCAUGCUUAUCUCCACGAACUAAAUAUGGUCACGAACAUAGAUAUAUUUGUAAAGUAUUGUAAAAUUUGUUUAUAAAGGAUAGUUCGUUGUAGCCAGAGACACGAGCUCCAAAUGAGCCCAUAAGGCCCAAUGGAGCAUACUAUUUUUGAGUUCUCGCAAAAAAGCCACGGAUACUUGGAUCUUACUACUUACAUUUGUCGAUUCGCGUAGAAGGGGAUGGAUCAACACGCACGCCAUGAAAUUCUAUCUACCAAGCUGGCGUCAAGCCUUAUUCGACGCGAAUAAGGCCAAGCACUAACACUGCUGUGAGAUUCAGACUAAGUGAUAUCCGAUGAUAAUGUCGAGUGCAUCUUAGUGAGAUGCAUCUACGGAGUUACCAUGAAACUAGACGUAGCUAACGCAGUUCUUGGAUGGCUGUGGUCUCCUUCAUAAGUUACGAUCAACAUGUUUGCGUCGUGUAAACAGCGCUCGACGUGCUUCCUCGCAGGGCAUCCUCUCAAGCUGCUACAUUUGUAAUAGCUCCUACAUAAUAUGGAGCAAGGAAGGCAUUUGUAAAUUGUAAUACCACGUAAAUAGUGUGAGCUGUGUUACAUUAAAACUGAUAUCUAAUAUACUAACGAGUUAUCAAAUUUAGAAGGAAAUAUAUAUAGUGGUGUAUAUACCUUGGAUGUGGAGAACCUUUUAUGGGCUUCUGCCCAUAUUUCCUCCAUGAGAAAUCAUCUGGGGGUAUAUCUGCAAAGUUGCCACUAAAAGCCGGCACUCUUAUUGUUGUUCUAUUCCUGGGCUUCCUACCAAAGCAAAACACGUAACAUAGAUCCAACUCAAACUUAAUUUAGAGCGCCAAUAUAUCUUUUGAAUAUAAAUAUUAAAAAUACUAUUCUCCAGUAAUAUUAGUUCUUAGAAAGAAAACGGUUGCUUCAUAUAAUAUAAUAUGGCAUCAAAGCAAAAGAUUCUUAGUUCGAGUCUCAUCAAACUCCUAACAUUAAUACAUUUCUUUUCAUUAAUUAAGUUCACUUCUUGAGCUCAUCAAAAAUUUUUGAGUCCAGAUAUGAGAAGAAGUGUUGAAUGUAAAUAUUAAAAAUACUAUUAUCUAGCAGCUUAAAUUUUUGAAGGACAAUAUUUUUCUUAUACAAUUUAACAAUAUCAAGCGAGAUUACUGUACUUUAGCCAAAAGAAAAUGGAGCGAAUGAAUGAAGGAAAUUGAAGUUUGUUUGAUCUCACCUUCUCUUGAAGCAGUGGCAUCCUCCAGUAGAAGCAGUGCAGUUCAUUCCCCCUUCACUAUUGUGCUUCCUCUUAUGAUUAGAAAGCAUAGAGGAUUCUCCAAUAGAAGAACCUUGUGUUACUGAAGAAGAGAAGCAAUGGUUCACCAAAUGCAUGUUGGUUUUAUAAGGAUUCAUGCCAAUCGAAGAAGAGAUCGGCCGUCUUAAAGGAAACAGCAAUCUCUGAUUCAUUGCACCAGGAAACUGCAUGCCUGAAGUACACUUCGGGACGGCGAAGUAUGCUUGAGACUGCAGUUUCUGAAACAACUGAACACCAUUGUAGUUCAUGGUGUUCUUGGAGCAACUAGGGGAGGUCCAUCUUUCAAUCAGCGCAGCACGAUUGAUCUCGUUGGAAGUUGGCAACGGACCCUUUCGAAUUCUUUUGUCGCGGGGAUAAGUCACGCCGUCGAGCAAAGAAAGUAAGUUCUUGAACUCGGCGAUGGUUUCACGGGCGAUCACGCUAAGCUCCUGGGAAGCGCUUCUGUCCGGCUUUUGGCUCACGACGCAGCGAAAGAGGUGAUGAGCUGUGUUUAUGCUUCUCUGAGCAGCACUAAGGAUGGUGAUAUCAUCUGAUGCUUCUUUAUUCAUGGUGGAAUUCAUAUGAACUCCUUAGUAGAGCUUCUUUAAACUAUAUAUACCAAUUCCAAAAUGAGAUACACCAAACAUUUACACCAUCUACUCAUCUUACUGUUGCAAAGAAUAAGCCAACUCAUGAUUACAAAAGUGCUUGAGAUUAUCAUGACAAAUUUGCACUUACUCCACAAUGAGAAAAAGUGCUUCCCUGCUUACAACCCACCACAACACAUCAUGGACACAUAGCCCAAAUUACAUUAUACUAUCUCAUGAAGAGAAUGUGAAAAGUGGGUUGAAGAGUGAAAGAGGAAUCCACAAAGGAAUACCAUUUGUUAGCUUCCUAUGAAGUGGGUUAAAGAAAGUGGGGAGAAAAGGAGAAUAGAUGGUGAUGGUUUGUCAUAUUAGUGAUGGUUGCCCCUUUUUUUUUUGGUGAUUAUUUUAUUGAAAAAAAGGGAGUGGUGUGAUUCAUGGAGUGGGAGAGGUGGUGGAGUGUUCGGACCCUACUGUGGGGAGUGUUUUUGCUUCUUCCACUAGCCCCCCCAUAGGAAUGGUGCAUCUAAUCCACUAUAUUACUUACACUUCAUUCCCCACUUUGCGAACAAAACCUCUUCACUCUUCGUACGCAAUCUCCUUAUGUCGAGUUCAUUUUGGGUAGAUUUUUGGAAACAUCCAAUGGUGGCAUGAUUCUUUUGCACAGAACUGACCCACAAGAGAACAUGUGUUGAGCCAGAUCAAUGUGGACCCAUUCAUCACAUUGAAGAGACCUUCCUUUUUAAAAAUCUCUGCUUAUGCUCUAUCUUUAAUCUUCCUCUCUUCUCUUUUCGUCGUUUUCAUUCUCUCCCGGUAAGCAACCAACAACUCGCGGCUAAUAGCAGACUGCCAGACUGUAAGCCCUUCUCUUGAUACUACUACGAGGUUAUAAAUUGUUUAUGAGGCGAGGAAUUUUAGCGACAGCAAUAUUGACUUAAAUCUUCCACAUGCUUGUUUUUUCCCACAGUACUGAAUCAGUUUCCGAUAGCAGAAUAUACCCCUGCUUCUAUCUUAAUAAGACAGGAUCGAGCCUUUCAUUUAUUUGGAAGAAAAGCGAUCUGUAACAUGUUCUAACAUCUACUGCAUCCAUCUACUAUAUCUGAGCUUUCAAUCUCAUGAUUACAAAACGCUGAAUAAACUUAGUUCCAACAAAAUGGUCAGAUCAUAAACUCAAUUCUCUCCAACUGUACUUGCUGCUAAUACAUAUUUAUAUAUAUAUAUAUAUAUAUAUUCACAAAACUAGCCAGAGACAGCUUCGUCAAACAUCAGCCCAUACAUUCUCGAUGUAAACUAACAGGAAUGAAAGACUGAAGCCGAUGAAAUUCUCAGGGCCUCCUGCGACCCGAAUGAUUCCUCAAAUGCCUGCCUAUAGUAGGGUAUGGCCGUCUCUCCCUGCAAGUCCUCUUAGACCUGUUCUUCCUGAGCUCAUACCCUAUAGUGUGCAAAUCCUCACAAAUCUCAUGCCUCGAGAGGGAAACAAGACCUGGCAAUAUAUCCUUCUGAAAAUCUCGUAGUCCCCUUCCUCUCCUCAGCUUAAUCCCACAAACAUUUUCCUUGUUAUUUGUUAUUGCAGGAGCCGAGAGUCCAUCAUCUGCGAUCUCUUCAAGAUUCAAGAUGAUUCUCUCAAAAGAAUCUGAGGAAUACUGAGGCAGAUAACUCGUUUCCGCAAUGGCUACGUCUAUGUUCCUGUCUAAGCAAUCCAUUAAACACGUUGGAUUCACAAAAGAAAAGGACAAAAGUGUCUCAGCUGCCCUUGUAACCACAUGAUCUAUCGCCACCUUAUCGUAAAGCUUCUCACUCUCAGCUACGGCAUGGCUUGAUACAGUAUCUUCUUCACUUCCAUCAUUGUGUGUUCGUUUUUCUCCCAAAUCCCCAUCUACAGAAGGUGGUAAAUCACUACUCCCAACUGAUGUAUGUAACUUAUCAUCCUUACUGUUAUUGCUAAAUGUUACAGUCGACAACUGCCUACCACUCUCACUAUCUACAGGCAUAUGUGAAUCAUGAGGAUGGCGAAUUGGGCCAUUAGCAGCCAUUUCCCCCGAAAUUUCCAAAGCAGGAAACACGAGAUUCGGCUGAACUGCUGUGCAGAAUUCCUUAGAGAAUCUAUUAUCUGAUUCACAAUAUUCUCGGCAUAUUUCACUUGGGUCUUUGUGGAGAUUCCCAUGAUGGACAACAGAUGAACUUGUAGAAGGGGAAGGAAACAUUUGACUAUGAUCAGGCAAAAUAUACAUUGCAUCAUCAUCUAGAGAUAUGUUAAGGUCAAUCUGCAGCUUUUGUUUCUCAUCAGAUUGACUAGGUGGAGAAUCGCUGCAUGCAUUUGAUCCUGAAAAGCAUAGAACAAACACUAGAUUUAGAAACGAGCAUGGCUUGCAGAGCUAUGUUAAGGCAACAAUGUCUGGCACUUUUCUAUAAAUUAUGCUAACAUGCGGUAAGGCUAAUACACCAAAUUAUUUGCAUGAAGUUUUCACCACCGACAAAUAUAGGCAUUAAACAAGGUUUUAUUAAGUAUCAUCGCUUUGUCUAAUCUAAUGCAUCCUACGUUAGAACUAGAUAUUUAACCCACGUUUCAUCUGGAAAAUCAUGUUUCAAGUCCAAUCGAACCUGGAACAUGGUGCAAAAGUUUAAAUAGUAUCUGUUGUAUAUCGAGCAUGGGAUCCGAAAUUUGGCACGAAAUUUCAUGCUCCUGCUGUGACAAAACUUGAAAUACAUAUGUUUAAAACUUAAAUAAGCGACAAUAACCGUUAAUGCAAUCCGAUAUACUAUGUGUCAGCAAUACUGGGGCCUUACGGCCCUUUUCUUUUUUCUUUUUUCUUUUUUUCCCCCCCAAAACCUUGUUUACGUUUUAUACAGAGUAUAUGACCCUUUUCAUGGAUUAGUGACGUAUGGUGCUCCUUGAUAGCACUCUCUGAAGCGAUAUAUGACCUGAAACUUCAUGUCCUGGCUUUCCUUAUAGGAUCUGAUGCAUUAUAUAUCAGAUUCUACAUAUAUUAACCACCAAAAUCUCUUCGAACAUUUCUUUCAACUUAUUGCUAUAUCCUGUACAUCUAUGAUUUUAUAAUCUCGCUAAUUUCAGCACACUCAAUCUUAAAUUCUUCUAAUUUUGCCAGAUUAGUCCUACCUAUGUAUAAACUAAUCAAAACAUCCUAUCUGCACAUUUGUUAACCGAAUGGACUAGUAAUUUGCUCAGACCUCAUAAAACAACUUGGGAUCAGAAUGUGGCAUAUUUUAGCAUAAAAAAUAACAAGACUAUCAAAAUGUAGCAUAUAAAAUUUAGCAACAACUGGUUUUUGGAUAAUGCUAUUGCAAAUAAAUGUUACCACGAUGCAAGAAAAGAUCGACAGCUGAAAAUGCUCACCAGCGCUGAGGGUUUGUUCUUUUCCCUUCUCCCGCGGCUCACGAAGAUCGGCAUUGGACUCACUCCACACUCCUCCAAUUUCUGCCUCAUUACUCCUCACCAAUGAAGGAUCUUCCUCAACCGUACCACGCGCAUUCAAAUUAAUUCCACUAUGAUGAUCUCCGGCCUCUCUCGUAUUAAAACCAGUCUCAUCACAAACAGAACUUUUUACUUCGAAGCUUUCAUCUGAAACAAAACCAUCAGCAGGGAGCUCGAGAUCGAAAUCUCUCGCCGGUCGCUUCUGAAGUUCGCAGGAAUUGCUUGUUAGCUCCCUGAAAUCAUCUUCUUUGCUUUGCGUCUUCGCCAAACUCACCUGCACAAAUUCCACACUAAGUUCUUUAAAAAAAAAAAAAAAAAAAGAAUUCUUUUUUCUUUGUUUCCUAACUACAUGUAAAUAAUUUACCAACAUUUCUCACCAUCAGUGAGUGGGUUUGCAGAUCAGAUCCUUUCCAUAAAAGCUCAUGCAUUAGAUUCUUCUGGGUCCAAUACAAUCUAUGGAGCUCUCGAACCUUGUUAUUAAAGAUCACAAUAGAGUUAAGCGAAACAAAACGGAGAGAAAAUCACAUGAAAUUCGCGGAAAAACCAACCUGAUCCCUGAAAAUGAGCUCAUGCUGAAGCAUUGCUUGCUUCAAUCCCUCCCAGAUCGAAUCCUCGAACGAUUGCGGCGAGCAAUUCAGAUUCAGAUCCCCUCCCCUCACCAUCAUCAUCAUCAUCAUCAUUCUCAUUCCACAACCACAAAAGUUAUCUCCUUUAAAACUCCUCCACAAUCCCCAUUCCACAGGAAUCUCAUUCCAUUAACUUUAAAAUAAAAUUCUGAUACAAAGAAAAAGAAACCCAGAAGUUGGGAUCGAUGAGAAGGGCCCAGAUAAAAAGAAAUUUUUUUAAAAAAAAUUGACUAGUAAAAAUAUAUAGUCUUAUCACUUCUGCUGACGCAUGCGUAAUGAAUAUCAGAUGAAUUAUGUCACGUUACAUUACGCAGAUUCUUGCGAAAGUCACGAGGUUUUGAUCUGAUACCAUAAUACUAAUAUUAUUGCGCAAAGAAAUGGAUCUAAUAAAAAAAGAUUGAGAAACGAUUUUAUAACGAAGAUCAUGAAAAUGAAGGAAAACCAACCUGUAAAGUUGCAAGAGGAGAAGGGUACCCAAAUGAUCAAAAGAUGGAGAGAGAGAGGGGGGUGGGGGACAAAAAGUGGGGGGAGGGGAGAGACUUAUUGGAGAGGAAUGUGAGGAAACUGAAAUCUAAACUUUGGGAGGAAAAAAUAAAAAAAUAAAAAAAUAAAAAAAUAAAGGCAAAAGUGGGGGAUCAAAAUAAUUGGGUCACAGAAAGAGCAGAAGCAGCAGCAGCAGUUGCUGCUAUAGGAAGCCCUCUUUUGCCUUUUUUAUUUGCACUCUCUCUCUCUCUCUCUCUCUCUCUCUCUUUUUUGCUUAUAUUCAUUUGCUCAAAAUACUUUUAUUUGUUUACAAUAAUUCUUUUUAAGAGAUAGGUAACACACUAUCCGUUUCGUUUAUUUCAUUUAGAAAUAAAUUUAGCUGAAAAUGUGAAUCAACUAGGAGAGUGUGGCUACUAUGCUAUCGGAAGCACGAAGCCUUCCGUGCUUCCAACUCGUUUUUGAUAUUGCGACUUUCGAAUCGUCGAUCGGCUCCGUUAAACUUGAUCUAGAGUAUUUGGAGUACCUAGAAAAUAAAUUAUAUGAUUUUACAAUAUCAUUUGCCUAGUGAACGAAGGGGCUCAAAAUCAACGGCUGAAAAUAAAAAUCUUACAAAAUGUAAUAAUAUGACAUUAAAAUUUUAAAUCAAAGAUAUUGAUCUUGUUUUAUAUAGUAUAAAGAAUUUUCUAUCAAAAUUUCACGUGAUUUAGAUAUUUCUACACCGUUAAACUUGCAAACGGCUCACUACGGCCAUUAAAAUUUGUUGAUUUUGAGCCCAUUCGAUCACUAGGCAAAUGAUAUCGAAAAUUAAUAAAAUUUAUUUUCUAGGUACUCCAAAUACUUUAGAUCAAUUUUAACGGAGUCGAUCGACGAUUCGAAAGUCGCAACAUCGAAAACGAACUGAAAGCACGAAAGGCUCCGUACUUCCGAUAGCAUAGUAGCCUCACUCUCAACUAGGAUUCAAACUUAGGACCUUAGGUACCAUCCACCAAAUCCUAUGCCACUUGCUCUAAGGACGGUCGGUAUUUGUUUACAAUAAUUUAAAAAAAAGCUCCGCAUACUAUCUCUAUAGUUCAACGUUUUCUCACUUUAGUAUUAUGUGGUUUAAAUUGUAUCAUUUUAGUAUCAUAUAGUUUCGUUUUUCUCUUUCUGUUAUUCCUUCUGUUAAAUUUUUUUCGUUAAAUCAGUGAAAAAAUUAAAACCACAGAAUUGUAAAGUAAAAAUUUUAUAAAUCACGGAGUACUAAAGUAAUAUUUGAUAAAUUAUAGAAAAAAGUAUCUGGAAUUUUUUCUAUAUAUUUCAACGGAGAGUUGACAAAAAUACUGACGAAAAGAAAAAAAUUAAAUCACAGAAUAUUAAAAUAAGAAAGCGCUAAAUCACAAAAGAGAUAUUUGUAGUUAUUUUAUAAUUUAAUUAUAAUACAAAUAUUACUAUUUUAUCUGAAAAUUUUUUUAAAAAAAAUAACUCUGGCAUAGGUUUAAAUAGAUUUUAAUACGAAACGAAUCCCCAAUCUGCUUUAGCUUCCUCGUCAGUGGCUUCUGCUGCUGCUGUUUCUAUCACUAAAUGAAAAUAGAUGGGAAAACUUCAAAAAACCCCCCGUCGUUUCACACGUUUUCAUUUUAGUAUGUUGUGGUUUCUUACUUUAUCACUUUAGUACCCAUUGGUUUAAAGUGUAUCAAAUUAGUAUGAUAUGGUUUUGCACUUUAUCACUUUAGUACUCUGUGGUUUCACACUUUAUCACUUUAGUACCCUAUGGUUUAAAAAACCACAGGGUACUAUCUUGAUACAAAAUUAAAACCAUAGGAUACUAAAGUGAUAAAAUGCAAAACCACAUAGUACUAAAUUGAUACACUUUAAACCACAGGGUACUAAAGUGAUGAAGUGAGAAAUCACAUGUACUAACUUGAUACAUUUUGAACUAUAGAGUAUUAAAGUGAAAAAAAUUGAAACCACAAGGAGGGUUUUUGAAGUUUUCCCAAAAUAGAUAUUAAGAAAAAAAAAAAAAGGAACGUGAUUUUUUUUUUGUUGUUUUUUUUUUUUUUAACUUUGCUUGUUUGUGGUGUGUGUGUGUGUGUGUGUGUUUUAUAUUAUUACUCUAUGCUAAAUUGCUGAUACGCUAUAUUGUCUAUUGUGUGGGAGAAGAGAACAAUGAUCCACAAUGGAUACGGUGCAGGGUUGGAACUUCGAACUUGUGGUGUUCAUUGAGUAAUGUAUUCUUUAAAUAAAAAAAAAAAAAACACUUCAAAAAUAAAUUAUUGUGCAAGUUAAGUUACUCUCCUAUAAAGCUUUUCUUGCAAAAAAUAACUAUGUAUCUAAAACCACUACUUAUUACAGUAAUUUUUAACCUAGAUUUUUUUUUUUUUUUUUUUUUUUUUGAAGUUGGAGCAGCAUAUUUAUCGAAUUUGAUCUUCUAAGACUUUUCGGACCCUAGUAGUAGAUUAGUCUCGAUUGGACGGACCAUGGAGUCUACCGAUAAUAAUAAUAAUAAUAAUAAUAAAAAACUAUAACCAUUUAUUUGAGGUAUUUGGAAAUUGCUCUUCAAUUUUAUCAAUAUUUACUAAUUUGUAUAUCAUCUCCUUUGCUUCAAUUGCUAUAACAAAGUUUGACGAUACCAGGAGCUAAAAUGAGUUUUAGUACUAUAAUAAUAAAAAUUUUGAUUUAAAACUUUUACUUUUACUGUAACCAAAACAAUAUGAAAAUUUUAAUCAAAUUUCCUAUUACCAACUAUAUAUAUACAUAUGAGUAGUAGAGCUACUAUACUAUCAGAAGUAUAGAGAAUCUGGUACUUUCGAUAUUUUAGCCCUUAAAUCAACCACUUUAAUCAUUUCUAACAUUUGGAUUAAUACAAUUAUCAUAUGAGGACCACUCAAUUCUAGAAGGGACUAUAAUCAUUUCAACCAUAGAAUUCUUUAAUUCAAAAGUCAAAAAGUCGAAACUAUCAAAUUCUCUGCAUUUCCGAUAGCAUAGUAACUCUAUAUUAUAUAUAUAGUCCUUUCACGGACAAUCCUAAUUAGGUGACUAUUAUUGCAAAAGCCUAUUCAGAGGCACUUGUGCGAAAAGCUUAAGCUAAUCCAAUUACUUUCUAAAUGUCCUCUCCUAUCUUCUGAAGCCAUUUUCUGAGAGAGUUGAUUCAGCAGCAUGUAGGAGGACUAUGAUCUAUGAGAUGCUCCUCUUUUUUUUUUUCUUUUUUUUUUUUUUUUCUUUUUUGGUCCCUGGUCAAUUUGCUUUUGGAGUGUCCACUUUUGGUCAAUUGUUCUGUAAAAAAGGCUACUCCACCCUUUUUUGCUAUUGCCCUGCUUUUGGUCAUUGCUCUGAUUGAAGGAAAAUGCCAUCAAUCAGCAGUAACCAAACUUGGGCCCAGUUUGGCACUGCAUCAUCAGAAGAAAUUUACCUGAUUUUAUAUUUUCUUGUUAUUUUCUGCAAAACUAUAAAAUGACAGUGAUAAUCAGAGAAAGAAUAAAUGGCCGCUUAGAUUCUGAAAAAGUAAUUUAUAAAAAAUUAAUUUUAGUUAAAAGUUGUAGAGUGUUUUGCUGAAUCUAACAGGAAUAAAACAGUUUGUCCCUUCUUUUUUUUUUUUUUUUUACUAUCUACAAAUAAUAAUUUUUUUACUAAAUUUAAAUUUUGAUUUUAAAUAUUAAAAUUUUAAAAUUUUAAAAAAAGUGAGAAGCUAUAAUUAGUUAAUGAAUAAACAGUAUAUCUUUCUCUUUUGUUAUAAUACUAAAAUGCUGAAAUAAAUGUUUAAAUCUUGGAGCUGGCUGAAAGUAACAAUAGGACAUAAGAUAAUUAAUAAC